AUGUCCUGGACAUUUAGGGAACAUUCGGUGAACAUCUGAUUAAAUUAUUCCUGGAAUGUUACCAUAAGACAUUCUGUGAACAUACUACCAAUGUUCCUAUAUGUUCAUUUUCAAAUUCACGGCGCAUGUAUUUGUGCAUGGUGCUUAGAGAGGGCAUCACGUGACUAAAAACGACCAAUGACCUCACUUCGGACUUCGGCGCUUCGGCCAUCUUGGCAUGCAUCAUAGAAGAGUGGGUGAGGGCAUGCAUCUUGGCCUUGGCCACCUUGCCGUGCGUGAUCGUUGUUUGUUUUUAUUUGUGCUUUUUAAGAAUAUUUUUUUAAUUCGGAUACUUUUAUAAUAACUUUAAUAGUAUUAUUAACAUAGUGCAUAAAAUCAGUUGGAGUAGCAGAAGCAAUGUAGAUAAAAAAUCUGCAGGAAUAACGUUUCAAAGCUUUCCAGAAGAUCCUGCGAAGAAGGCAUGAAGUAUAGAUCAGAUUUGUUAAUAGAGCAGUAUGUUCAAAACAUUUUUUAGAAAAAGAUAUUGACAGAACUUCACUUUCAACUGUUUGUUUGAGAGACUGUGCUGUUCCAAUAGCUUAUAUCACACAGAAUCAGCUGAGAGAAGUGGUCUACAAAAAACCAGGAAGGAAAUGGAAUAUGUGGCUAUGAAAGGCAAAAGAAAGGUUUAUAAAGCAAAUGUGACACAUUUUUUAUAGGAAUAUCAGUAAAUUACAUUAAAAAAAUGUAUGAAAAGAUUUUUUGCAAUAAAAAUGUUUAUAUUUA